rnacentral:rRNA from 1 species
CCUACGGGUGGCUGCAGUGAGGAAUAUUGGUCAAUGGGCGCGAGCCUGAACCAGCCAAGUAGCGUGAAGGAUGACUGCCCUACGGGUUGUAAACUUCUUUUAUAAAGGAAUAAAGUGAGGCACGUGUGCCUUUUUGUAUGUAUUUUAUGAAUAAGGAUCGGCUAACUCCGUGCCAGCAGCCGCGGUAAUACGGAGGAUCCGAGCGUUAUCCGGAUUUAUUGGGUUUAAAGGGAGCGUAGAUGGGUUGUUAAGUCAGUUGUGAAAGUUUGCGGCUCAACCGUAAAAUUGCAAUUGAUACUGGCAGCCUUGAGUACAGUUGAGGUAGGCGGAAUUCGUGGUGUAGCGGUGAAAUGCGUAGAUAUGUGGAAGAACACCGAUGGCGAAGGCAGCCUCCUGGGACAUAACUGACGCUCAGGCACGAAAGCGUGGGGAGCAAACAGGAUUAGAUACCCGGGUAGUC